GUCGAACGGUAGCAGGAAGUGCUUGCACUUUGCUGACGAGUGGCGGACGGGUGAGUAAUGCUUGGGAACUUGCCUUUGCGAGGGGGAUAACAGUUGGAAACGACUGCUAAUACCGCAUAAUGUCUACGGACCAAACGGGGCUUAGGCUUCGGCGCAGAGAGAGGCCCAAGUGAGAUUAGCUAGUUGGUGGGGUAAAGGCUCACCAAGGCGACGAUCUCUAGCUGUUCUGAGAGGAAGAUCAGCCACACUGGGACUGAGACACGGCCCAGACUCCUACGGGAGGCAGCAGUGGGGAAUAUUGCACAAUGGGGGGAACCCUGAUGCAGCCAUGCCGCGUGUGUGAAGAAGGCCUUCGGGUUGUAAAGCACUUUCAGUUGUGAGGAAAAGUGAGUAGUUAAUACCUGCUCACCGUGACGUUAACAACAGAAGAAGCACCGGCUAACUCCGUGCCAGCAGCCGCGGUAAUACGGAGGGUGCGAGCGUUAAUCGGAAUUACUGGGCGUAAAGCGCACGCAGGCGGUUUGUUAAGCUAGAUGUGAAAGCCCCGAGCUCAACUUGGGAUGGUCAUUUAGAACUGGCAGACUAGAGUCUUGGAGAGGGGAGUGGAAUUCCAGGUGUAGCGGUGAAAUGCGUAGAUAUCUGGAGGAACAUCAGUGGCGAAGGCGACUCCCUGGCCAAAGACUGACGCUCAUGUGCGAAAGUGUGGGUAGCGAACAGGAUUAGAUACCCUGGUAGUCCACACCGUAAACGCUGUCUACUAGCUGUUUGUGGCUUUAAGCCGUGAGUAGCGAAGCUAACGCGAUAAGUAGACCGCCUGGGGGAGUACGGCCGCAAGGUUAAAACUCAAAUGAAUUGACGGGGGCCCGCACAAGCGGUGGAGCAUGUGGUUUAAUUCGAUGCAACGCGA
rnacentral:rRNA from 1 species